rnacentral:misc_RNA from 1 species
GAUGAAGAACGUAGCGAAAUGCGAUAAGUAAUGUGAAUUGCAGAAUUCAGUGAAUCAUCGAAUCUUUGAACGCACAUUGCGCCCAUUAGUAUUCUAGUGGGCAUGCCUGUUCGAGCGUCAUUAAGUCCACUUAAGCCCUGCUUAGUGUUGGGAGACUGCUCCAGCGGUGCUACCCUGUAGCUACCCUGCAGCUCCUCAAAGACAGCGGCGGAGUUGUGGUAUCCUCUGAGCUUAGUAACUUGUUCUAGCUUUCCAGUACACCACUUCCCCUGCCGUAAAACCCUUAAUUUUUAAUGGUUGACCUCGGAUCAGGUAGGAAUACCCGCUGAACUUAAGCAUAUCAAUAAGCGGAGGA